GCCAGCAGCUAUAUCACCCUGCAACUCACAACCGGCAACCCACUGAAGCUCAGCAGGUGUGAGCCUGGUCAGUACCUUGAUGUAGGGCCUCCUGGGAAAAACUAAGGUUGCUGCUGGAA
rnacentral:rRNA from 1 species